rnacentral:rRNA from 1 species
UACGUAGGUGGCGAGCGUUGUCCGGAUUUACUGGGCGUAAAGAGCGCGCAGGCGGGCGUGCAAGUCGCGUGUGAAAGCCCCCGGCUCAACUGGGGAGGGUCACGCGAUACUGCUCGACUCGAAGGCAGGAGAGGGGAGUGGAAUUCCCGGUGUAGUGGUGAAAUGCGUAGAUAUCGGGAGGAACACCAGUGGCGAAGGCGACUUCCUGGCCUGUUCUUGACGCUGAGGCGCGAAAGCUAGGGUAGCAAACGGG